GAAAUUGAAAUCGCAGUGAAGAUGCUGUGUACCCGCGGCUAGACGGAAAGACCCCGUGAACCUUUACUACAGCUUGGCACUGAACAUUGAACCUACAUGUGUAGGAUAGGUGGGAGACUUAGAAGCAGAGACGCUAGUUUUUGUGGAGUCGUCCUUGAAAUACCACCCUUGUAGUUUUGAUGUUCUAACGUUGGCCCCUGAAUCGGGGUUACGGACAGUGCCUGGUGGGUAGUUUGACUGGGGCGG
rnacentral:rRNA from 1 species